AAAGUUCUGCAAAAACAGAUAUUGGAUGUUGGAUUGCUGUAUCAUUGUGAUUGUUAUGGUAAGCCUUUCACAUGUUUUGGUUCUAACAGCUACCUUGCAAACUCUGUUAUUUUUAGAGAAUUUUGAUAGUAAUAUGUUUUUGAGUCAUUUCAAAUUUAAGAAAGAACUUAGUAUUGGUUCUUCUUGGUUAUUGCUGGAGAAUGCUUCAAUCCACCUUUUUUUAUUGCUAGAAUAUUUCAAUACUCUUUGAAUCUAAAGCACAAUCUUAUUUGCUAAAGUGAGACUUGAUCUGUAAAUCUAGCACAAAACAGAGGAAAUUGAUUCAAUUAUGUUAGUCUUACCUGUUUAUUAUAUUAACCCAAUUGAAUUAUGAGACUUUCACUUGGUUUGCUUGGGAAUAUUAUGGGCUUGCUCUAAAGAAAACAUGUCUAAGAGAUUUUGGUAUCAUUUUCAUGAAUCUUCUCUUUUCAUGCAUCCAUGAGCAGGUAUAGAUUGCUGCUUAGUGUUCAAUAUGAGUUACAAUCUUCUUUACUGAAGGGUGAGAAUUGAGCCCAUGAUCGCCACUAUGAGACAUUGAAUCCAAACUCCUCAUGUGCCUAAAGGUACUUUUUUGUUAUUAGUGCUAAUCAUAUUUUUAUUUGACAAGGGAGUUGCAUGCAGUAUCAUUUCAUUUGCUGUAUAAAGUAUAAAAAUUGCAUGCCAACUGUUAGAGACUAUUUUAACAUCUAUUUUACAUCUUUAGUUUUGACUUACUGUUAGAAACUUUUCUCUCAUCAUAGGUCAUAUGCAAUUGUUGUUUUAAUGUGGUGCUUAUGCUUUCCUGAGCCGAGGGUCUAUUGGAAACAACCUCUCUAUCCUCACAAGGUAGGGGUAAGGUCUGCGUACACACUACCCUCCCCAGAUCCCACGAUGUGGGAUAAGACUGGGUAGGUUGUUGUUGUAUAGGUCAUAUGCAAAAAUUAAGAGAAAAUGUUUGGUGAAAAAGUGCCGCCGUAGAGAUUCCAGUUCCCUCUGUAGAUGAAGGCUCACUUUGACCAGCAAAGAACCAGUGUAGAGUCUAGUGAAGAGUGUAUAGAUUCCAGUUUCUGUUCUAUACAAAGGUUCACUGAGUGACCAGCAAAGAAUUGAGUAUUUUUGUAGUCGACUGUUGACAUCUGGAGUUCAUUUUCAGAUAGUGUUUUUUGUUUUGUUUUGAAGAUGUAUUAAGUAACUUUUUAUUGUACUAGAACAACUAUUGGAUGGUGUUUAUGAGAUUUCAAAGAAGA
rnacentral:lncRNA from 1 species